AUUCCUAAUGUUUAGUAAGAAUCUCCUUUCUUGUAAUAUGAAUCCUACUGUCUGGAGCAGCAGAAAACAAGCUUGCUCCAUCUUCAGAUAUUUGAAGAUGGCUAUCAUGUGACCCCUCGGUCUUCUUUUCUCAAGGCCAAACAUCCCCAGUCCCUUCAAGCAGGCAGG